UCAGUUCAGAUACUGACGGUGUGGGAACCACAUGUCUACGUAACUGCAAGCAGACUCUCUGUGUAGGGCUGUGUCAAGCUGCACAGGCAGACCGGAGGUGUAGCUUUUCUUCCAGAAUAAAAGUCAAGCGUUUCGUGCAAAGUAAACUCUCAUUUCAAAGAAAAGAUGGAACUAAGGCUGAAUGCACACAGCAUUUAAGAUGCACAGCCAGAAUACACUGCAAGUUCUUUUGCAGGCGGAAAUUCUUCAUGGUUGCAUGCAGAUUGAGGGAAAUACCAUCAAUGCAGUAUUUUUUUGUUUUAAUAUUGAAAUGCAUUUGGAAAAGGUUUUUGAAAUAAUUGAAUUGGACGACCUGCAAAAAGCUGGUAUGCCAAUUUGGGGGACACUAGGUGCAAAUAGCUUACUUGGCUACUAUUUUUUUUCCUCUUUAUUUAUAGAUAUUCUUUGCACUUUAACUAUAUUGAACAUAAAAAAACAAAUAAAGAACAAAAUACAGAAAAACUGGUGGGAUGACUUAAUUAUCUUGCCUUUGGCUACUUCUUUGGUAUAUGAUUAACUAAUUUCAACUCUUAAAUCGUCUAAAUGGCUUUCCUUUGUAUCGAGACACAAAUAAAUAAUGUUCUUUUCACAAACCAUACAGAGACGCUGCAUAGGAAGAGAGGCAUGUAUUCAUUUAUGAAGCAGAGACAAAGACAGAGAGAUGCAGUUUCCUCACUGUUCAAAAAGUUAAAUGUCUAAUGUUUUUUUUUAUUCUGAAGGUGCCAAGCGGAAAUCAUGUUUUGUGUAAUCACUCAGACUUUGUUGCUCGUUGGGUAUAGAUAGUCAGUGCACCUUUUCUCGCCCCACCGGCCGUCGGUCGUCUCGAGCGCAUGAAGACGUGGAAACACCAGAGACGCGCGAGAGGACCACGAGCCGACCCGGUCUCCUCCUCCUCCUUCUACUCAUCAUCAUUAUCACUGUCAUCAAUUUAGUAUCUGGAGAGGUGGGUGCAGCAGAGCCCUAGUCCAGCAGUUUCUUUUCCCCAGCAAGGUGAGGAGGAGGAAGAGGAGGAGAGGAAGAGGAGACAGACAGACAGACAGACAGGCAGUAUCUUUGCGCAUGGAGCUUAUGGAUUAUUGAGAAGUGGAGGCCGACACGGGGAUCAAAUAUUCAUAAGGACUUUUCAAAGAGAAAAGAACACUGAGUGGGAUAGUGCAGAGAUCCCCUGCAGUGAUUCACCUGCCCGGUCUGCGCUGCCUGCGCUCCCACUGACCACAGACCAGAGGACCAGCGCUGCUGCUGCUGCUGCUGGAGCAGGAUUCUGCGUGUGUGUGCAGUGUCUGAGUGGCGGUGAGCGUGUUUUUGGAUCGGACCCCCCUGCUGCAGCAGCAGCUACUUGCCUGCUGUGUGGGUACAGGGAUGACACCGACUUGCUGACGGACACCCGGCAUCCGCACCCAUCCCCUCCCCGCCCCCCCCCCCCCCCCCCCCCCCCCGGACGGACGGACACACCGACCCGUGCGAUCCCCACUAAUAUGCAAUGGUUUUUUGUGCAGAAGCCGACAGCCGCCGCGUACCGCCGACUUCACGCUAGCGCCGCCGCAUGCCUGUCAGCCGCUGCCGCUCCUCUCCCCGCGCCGCGCGGCAGACGACGCCAUUUGAAGAGGAGCGCUCGCGGGGUUUUCACGCCGCGGCGGCCGGGCGGCAGCAGCAGCGACCGCUCCUCCGCCGCUGAGGACCACCGGCCGCUGGGGCAGCCGGAGGACGAGACCGCUGAGGAAAGCGCCGCAGCGGCUGCUCUUUUCCUGCCGCACGGGGACGACGUCGACGCGGAAUACGUGCGGCUGCUGGUCUCUGGGCUUGUGGAGAAACCGGGCGACGAGCCGGGCUUCCUGCUCUUAUUCUUGUCUAUGGUGCAGAUUAGGGGGGCGAAGCACCGCCGAACUGAGCCCAACAGCUGGCCGGCUCUGCUGGCAUGCAAACAGGGGGGCGGAACAGCCCCCAUGCGGUGGGUGAAUAUUAGGCUGCCGCAUCCGGAGCGCCUCUCGUCCCCCACCUCCUCUUCCUCCACCACCACCUCCUCCUCCUCCUCCUCCUCCUCCCCCGUCUCGGCCAAAUCCAUGCGGUUUAUUUGGAACAACAUUUUCAGCAAAGGAUCGCAUAUGCUGCAGUGUCUUUGUGGCAGGAGCCUCAAGAAAACCAAGAACCCAACUGAACCACAGCUGAAGGGCAUAGUGACCAGGUUGUUCUGCAGACAGGGCUUCUAUCUCCAGAUGGGCCAGGAUGGAAGUCUGGACGGGACCAAAGACGACAGCACCAACUCCUCUCUGUUUAACUUAAUUCCUGUGGGUCUGAGAGUCGUGGCCAUCCAGUCAGUGAAGACAGGCCUCUACAUCGCCAUGAAUGGAGAGGGUCACCUCUACUCCUCGGAACUGUUCACAGCCGAGUGUAAGUUCAAGGAGUCGGUGUUUGAGAACUACUAUGUGAUCUACAGCUCGAUGCUCUACAGACAGAAGGAGUCGGGCCGGGCCUGGUUUCUAGGCCUUAACAAAGAAGGACAGGCCAUGAAGGGCAACAGGGUCAAAAAGACCAAACCAGCUGCACACUUCCUGCCUAAACCUAUAGAAGUUGCGAUGUACCGAGAGCCUUCACUGCACGAUGUAGGGGAGGCGGUGCCUAAAGUCGCCGGGGGCCCGCCUUCCAAAAGCACGACCAGUGAACCGGUGAUCAUGAACGGCGGCAAACCAGUCAACAAACCCGACAAGGAGGAGACAUAACCCCGCCUCCUUUUUUACCCUCCAAAAGACAGAGACUCGCCCCACUGCUGCGCUCUCAAAAAACGAAUCUACGACAAAAGGUAACAAAAAAACAAACAACAGCUCAAGUUCUGACUGGACAGCAGUGGGGCCGCGAGACCCGCCUCACCUCUGUCCCUACUGGAUGGAUUGGGUGUUGUGGGGCGGGGCCAGAGGGACAGAGCACUGCGGCUGUUGGGAAGAGGAGGAAGAAGACGGGCCAGUGCCAGCCAGAUAUUUGAACUGGGACAGAGGCAUGCCCUCAUAGCAGAGAUAAAAUGACUUCUUAAAAAAACAAAAACAAAAAAAACAUGAGAAAAGAAAUUUAAAAAGAGAUCCGUCUUCACCGGUAUUUUUUCUGUGACAAUCUGUAAGAAUUAGGCCUCUUUUUCCUCCCCUGACCAUUCUGUUUUCUGUUGCCAGGUGUGAUUGCUCACCAGUUGCCACUCACAGACACACAACUCCCACACAGAAUCAACCACAUGGAUUCGAUAUAAAAAGCAGAUUAAAAGCAACAGCAAACAUCUGGCGGAGUGAACACCUAAUACGGUGAUUCAGAGGAAAGCUUAGUCAUCGAUCAAUUAAGACCUGGCACAGGAAAUUCUGUACUCGGCUUUCAAUGAAGUGUACUUGAAAGUGGCACUUUGCAUUACGUACAAAGCAAACACUCUUAGUUUUUCAUCACUUGCGGUAUAUGACGAGAGAGUUCUUAUUCAAGACCACGUAGCUUGAAGCAUGUUUGCCUUUGCAGUGUUCUUUUAUUAUCUAUUUGUUAGGUGGUUUAUUACACUGCACACACAAAGCACUAGUGAUUACCCAGCUACAUUGUUGUACAGACAAAAAAUAGAUUUCAGUUUCUACCUCUCUGAUUCUUUUGUCUUUGUCUCCCUAUAUGAAUGCUAUGAUUCCCAUGAUUGCUGACACAAGUGUAGCUCUGGAGAAGAGGGGAUCAGCCCACAUGUCAAAUUCCCUGUUCGCUGUAGCAGCAUGGAGGAGGCAGGUAUACAACGCCCCCCUACCAGCAUCUCUUACACGCACUCACCUGAUGGUCCCUUCAAUGACGUCCAUUCAUCCUCGGUGUUGACCACAGGGCAGACUGUAGUAUCAGCCAGUUCAGCAGCAGCAAAGAUGCAUGCGGAGAGAGGAAUGAAAAGGAAAGAAAAGUUCCUUGUUCCUGGUCACUUGACACUCGCACACCUGUACCUCAUAUAAUCACUCCAGAUUGUCAUCGUUGCCUCCAUGUACACCGUGAACCCUCCCAGUCGUCUUGCUGUUUGGAUCUUUCUCCUGCUCCUCGACCGUGUUUGAUUGCCCUAUCUGUGUAUUGAAUCUUGGACUGUGAGUUGAGGCAUUUUUUUUAUCUAUGCCUUUCUCUCCUGUGUGUUACCUGUCCCAGUUGCUACGGAAAGGACUUUGAAAUUACCUUGUACUGUGACAUUUUCGCUACGUUCGAGGAUGUCUCCAGUAUUUUUUUGCACAUCACAGAACAGCUUCACGUCAUUGCACAAACGGUAUAUGUAUUUACUCAUCCGAUCCUCAAGAUUUGGGUUUUUCCACGCAUCCUAAACAUGCUGUCGCUCUGGGGUGUGCACACACACACACACACACACACACACACACAAACACACACACACACACGCCCACAAAGCAAUGAGUGAUAGGGUAGUUUUCACACAAUCAUGUCCACUUCAAACUGCUCUGUUACAUAUCGUCUCUGUGGAGCAGCGUCUAUGAAAUACUUUUGUCUCAAAGUAAUGGUAGACUUAGGCAAACACACUGUAGUCAUGUGCUGAUGAUACACAGUAAUUCUCAUGUCAUUUUACUAUUUUUACCUUAAUCACUAAAUUCAAAGAUAUGCUUUAAUACGAGUUAUGCCGCGUUUAACCAUGGGCUGCAAUAUAAUUAAAGACGUGUCCUUUUAACCUUUGAAUUACUGUAGCAAGAGGAAAUGUUCCUUUUAAGGACUGAUCUGAGAGAGAGAGAGCGUGUGCACUGGCUUUGUGUUCAAAUGUCUUUUGAGUAAGUGAUAUUGCUCUUAUUACGGAGGAAAGAGAAAAGGAGGAGUAGGUUAUUAUUACAUGGUUUAAGGGCACCUCAGCAGGUUUAAUAUUGAGGGUAAAAAGAAGCCUUCAGUGUCAGAAUUCAUAAAUAUUGCAUUUCGUAUGAAUAUGAUUUCCCUGGCCGGCUCCCAUCUGACAAACACGCGGCCAAUAUCCUGUUAUAAUUUUGGACAGUCCAGUCGUCCAUUAUCGAGCCGCCUCAUCAGCGCUUAACUCACUAGUGAGAGGCUGAACACACAUUCUAGUCAGAGGGCUGAGGUUUGUGUGGAGUGCAUUUCAGUAUUUCUAACAUCUGGAACAUGUGUAUAUUCAUGUUGUGAUCCAAGGUCUGAGGGGGCCUAUACUUUGAUUUUCUUCUUGUAAAAAAUGAAUAUUUUCCACUAUUGCACAGCCAAAGGAAUUUUUAUAAGACAAAUAUUUUUGGCAGAUCAGGCAGUGGACUUAGUAGGUAAAGCAAAGCAUUUACUCUGGAAUAAAGGUUCUGAAGCCUUUGCAGAUCAUUGGGACUUAAGAAGUGUGAGUUUCUAAAGGCAGGAAUAUGUACAGAUUCUGAACACGAUGCCUCGAGUUGCAACUGCAAAUCUGGGUUGAUGUUAGUCGGGAGCUUUUGUGAAGAACUGGAGUUAAAGUUAACAGCGAAAUGUCCAGGAACAGUUUGUGUUUUAUUGUAACUAGAGCACAGAUGGGUGUGAAUGGAAAAGAAGAAUAAGCAGGAGCUGGGAGAAAGAAGCAACUAUGUUUGAGAACCACCCCACUAUGCCAGGUUGGAGUGGUAUAGAGAGUGGCUGUGAAGUCACAGCUCCACAGGUGGACAAAAAGCACUUCCUUUGGAAAGUUUUAUUUCCGUCUGCCUCUUUGCAGGUACGGGAGUGUAAAAAUGGUCUGGAGCAGAGAGAGAGAGAGAGAGAGGGAGAGCUAGACGUAGAGAUCAAGGCACCGUGGCACAAAGCGCACAAGUGUUCUUCUUUGCUUUUAGGCAGUGGUAGGUGUGCAGGUUUGGUGACCUUGGCAACUGGCAAUGGAGUGGAACAUUUGAUUGGUGAGACUACAUGUGAGCGUGUGUGUGUGUCACAUGUAGGGGAGGGCAAGUGGAAAAAUCGAUCCAUUCUUUACUUACAUCAAGAAAAGGCAGGUUCUUUUUUUCUGUGUCCUCCUUUUUGGAGCAGCGGGCUUCCUCACACAAUAAACAAGAAGCUUUUGAGCCUGAUGAGUCAGACAGUUUUGUGUGUUGGGAAAAGCUUUCGCGCCAUUUCACCCGCGAGUGCUGCUGCCACUCGGCCAUUUUGGCUAUUUCAACCAUUUCUGCAUUAGCAGCAGGUUAUUGCCCAGGCGUGCUUUGGCAGCUGUUGUAACAAUUACUCUAAAUGGUUAGGGUGGGAAAGAAGACUUAAAUGGAGUUAACCUACUCUGGUUGACAACCACACCUUACAUCAUAACACUAUACUUUAUUAUUCAAAUAUAACUGCCAGUGAUGGCUGUUUUCCAGCCAUUUGGCCAAAAGUGUGUUGACAUUUCUCUGACAUUUCACAGAGGGGGGCGAUAUCACAGCCCUUCCGAAAUACACGAUUUUUCAUAUGGACGUUUCUUCCACUUGGCUGGAGCAGAAAUGCAAAAUUCAUUAUGCUGACAAGCUCACAGCAAUGCUAAUGUUUAGAGUGGGUCACCAUAUUAGUUUUGCAUGCCAGCGUGCUAACAUGUGCACUACGAGGCAGAUGGGAAUAUUAUUUAGUUUUGCGGCUAUUCGGUCAAAGCCUUGAGAGAAAUGUGCAGAUGCUUUGGUAUUUGUAUUUUAUCCCUAUAGGAUAAUGUAGCCCUACAGCGAGUUUCUGCAAUUUAUCCCAUAUCAUAAUUAAUGUCUGCUGUACAAAGUAAACUAAUGCUUAUUCCCAGGGUGCAAUGUAGAGCAAGUUUCUUUCUUAAAAUGACCUUUCUGUGUUGACUACAUUGGACUAGACGUAGAGGAAUAAUGAUGACAUACCGACUUAUUUAAUUGCCCAAAAUAGGAAAAAUGCUGCAGUAUUUCAGUCAAAUAUUUAACAAGCCCAAACAAACAAACCCAGCCCUGUUUCCUCCCACGUCCCUCUCUCUGUCGAUCUGGCUCCCAGUCUGUCCCCCCCCCCCCCCCGUCUGUCUGUCAAUAGAGGAGAGGGUGGCAUUUCAAGCCUGCAGACAGCAUCUCCCAUCAGGCCUCAAGACUGACGGUGGAACCCUUGUGCAUGCGUAUGAAUACAAGUGCGCUAAUAAGCUAUUCUUUGCUCGUCCUUUAAUGUGUCCAUCAAUCCAUUUGACCAUCUAAACUGAAUAAAUAUCUUUAGAGCAGCCGGCGGCUUGAGAUGCAAGACAAUGUGACACUCGAUGACUGAAAGGCUCGAUGGCUCCGUCUGCUGAUGUCGAUGUCGAUGAGCUGUUUGUUUAUCCAGCACUUUGUUACCAUUCAAGAAAUAUGCACACACACUUUAUCAGAUUGCCAUGAACACUGGUUUGGAUGUCCAUAAUCUAGUGGGUGAUUCCAUAUUUGCCCUUUUUGUGCAGUGUAUUGUACAAACCGACGUCCUGAACUUGUUAAGGAGACAGAAUUGAGACAAUUUAUAUUUUUAUUCAAUAAAUUGAUGAUAAUUAAACCUUGAAAACAUAUUUAACUGUUCCAAUGGGAACCUUAUGACACUAAACCCAAUAAAAUGACAGAUAAUCAGGCCCAAUGCUAAUUCAUUUUUCCCCUGAUUCAUCUGAUUUGUCUCUUGGAUCAUUUCAUUUUUGAUUUCCUGACACUUUGUGAUCAGAUCCCUCUUUGCCUCCUCUCAGAUGAAGGCUCCAGUGAGGCCUGACCUUGUAGACACAGUGAACUGUAGCCAACGGCAUAAUUACACACAACUUCCAGUCAGGACUUUGCUGUUAUGUCUCCCAGCAGCACAUUGAUGGGCAGCCGUGCUGCACCGUGGAAGCUGUGGAGCUACAGGACACCAUUCUCAGCCGAACAUCAUUCAGUCAGAGACUGGUGGCAGCUCAGCUGGAACUGUCGACAUGUUGUCUGUCCCGCGUGUUGAACACUCACUCGUGUCCUGAUCCUCUCCGAGCAUUGACUUUCUCUCACAAAAAGAACUAAUGGGGCAGAUGCUGUUAAAGUUGAAACCUUGAAUGUGGUUUUACUCUGAUGAGAAACAUGAUGAAGUGGUUUGAAUUUUUGAAGUAAAAAUGUUUUUUGUUGUUGUUGUUUUUUGUUAUUCUUCGUAACUGUGUCUAGGUUUUCCGUCCAAAUCCACCAGCGUCACUUGUGUUGUAUUUACACAAUGCGUUUUGGUUGAAUCAGUCAAGGUUUCACUGGUUCUUCCAAGUGACAGAGAAGCAGCGGAGACAGCUGAGACACCCAUGUGUCAGAGAAGCCGGGGGUGUGUGACUUGCUUAAAAUUCUAAAUGGGGGAAACUACAGAGCAAAGCUGUCAAGAUGUGGAUAUGCGGGGGAGAGGAGCAGAGACGAGCCUGAAAAGAAAGAGCUGUCAGCAACCGCGAGACGUGAGUUUACCCGGAUCCUGGCUUUCCGUCUUCAUGUUGUCUUGUCAGCUUUAACUCUCAAGAGUGAAAAUGCCAAACCUGUGACCUCUGAGGUCGUUGGCAGGAAGCCCUGGCUGACACGUCUGCAGCUACGAGCCCCGAGGCCGGUGGAAGUGCAAAUGUGGUUGUUGGCGGCAGCUGGAUCGGUUUCUCAGAUAUUAGAGGAGUAUCACACACAGAUGCAUAAAAAGGAUGAAGGAUGGAGAGAAAAGGAAAAAGGAAAAAAGAAGAUUCAGACUGUCAGUCUGUUCAAGCCCAACAGUCAGGACUCUCUGGUGUGUUAUCCACACAAAUGAGCCUGAAGAGAUGACUCUCUGGACAAACAAAUAGCGUCCAACAAAAGGGGGGAACAUCUGUCAUUGUUGACAUCUGAAGGCUAUUUACUUGAUGUCAGAGCAGAAGUUUACCGCUUUGAUCGCAGGUCCUACGGAUCUAAAGCCGGAAUGAAUAGACUGAAAAGUGUGAUGGAGGAAAGACGUGCCUGGUAUCCGGUCACAAGACGAGGUCUGACAAAAUAACCCUGAUGAUGUCAUAAUGAUGUCAUCAACAUUAUCUCAGGUUUGGAUAACAAAUGUUUUAACAGAAAGCCUGUGUUGAAAAGAGGAAGUAAUACAUGCAAGUGUGAAUGUCAACUCAAAAUAAGCUUGUAAGACUGUUGCAUUAUGGGACAUGUAGGCUCUAGUGUUGUCUGUAGAGGUAAAGACCCACUCUAGGGUUUGAAGGUCUGGAUAUUUCAACCUCUGCUGCUUCAUUACAGAUUCUUCUGGAGAGAUUACCUAAAACGAUAUUCUCCUU